rnacentral:rRNA from 1 species
GACGAACCGAGCGAACGUUGUUCGGAAUCACUGGGCUUAAAGGGCGCGUAGGCGGGCGUUCGAGUCAGGGGUGAAAGCCCCAGCUUAACUGGGGAAGUGCCUCUGAUACUGGACGUCUCGAGGGGAUAGGGGCGUGCGGAACUUCCGGUGGAGCGGUGAAAUGCGUAGAUAUCGGAAGGAACAUCGGUGGCGAAAGCGGCGCGCUGGAUCCCUUCUGACGCUGAGGCGCGAAGGCGUGGGGAGCGAACGGG